UACAGAGGGUGCGAGCGUUAAUCGGAAUUACUGGGCGUAAAGCGCGCGUAGGCGGCUUUGCAAGUCGGGUGUGAAAUCCCCAGGCUUAACCUGGGAACUGCAUUCGAGACUGCAUUGCUAGAGUAUGGGAGAGGGAAGUGGAAUUUCCGGUGUAGCAGUGAAAUGCGUAGAUAUGCGGAGGAACACCGAUGGCGAAGGCAAUCCCCUGGGCCUGCACUGACGCUCAUGCACGAAAGCGUGGGGAGCAAACAGG
rnacentral:rRNA from 1 species